UAGCAUUCGUUAUUGUUCGGCAAAAACGGAGUUAAGCGCAUGCGCAGUCAAGUGACCUGGCCACGCCGUCGCCAUAUUGGUAGUCCUGAAGCGGAUCUAGACAGCGUUUUCACAACAACUGACACCAUGUCCAAAAGGCAGCCAGAAAGUAGCUCUGCAUGGUAGGAGUCCAUUAAAGAUGUGCCUGAUGAAACCAUUGGAAAUGUCAACAAUGGUAGCAUGGAUGGAAGUGACAGUGAUGUACCUUAAGAAAACAUUUGAAGUGACAAUGAUUGUAAGGUGGAUGAAAGUGACAAUGAUGUGCCUAUAGAAACCACUGCAAGUGACAACAAUGAUAACAUGGAUGAAAGUGACAAUGAUGGGCCUGAAGAAACCAUUUUAAGUGACAACGAGUGUAACAUGGAUGAAAGUGACAGUGACAGGCCUGAGGAAAAUAUUAUAAGUGAUAAUAAGGGACAACAAUAAUAACAUGGAUGAAAGUGGCAAUGAUGUGCCUGAGGAAAAUAUUGUAAGUGAUAUAACAGUUGUAACGUGGAUGGAAGUGAUACUAAUAUUUCUGAAAAAAAAACCCUCAGGGAUUGGCUGUAAUGAAUGAACAGGAUGAUUUUUUGGGAGAAAUAAAUGGUGAAUAAAGAUAUUUUGGAUUUGACUUCACUUUUACUGAGAAUGACAAUAAUUCGUUUUCAAAAACAGAAAUUUGCAGCUUUUGUCUAUAUAGAUUUUGUCAUCUUUUUUGUAGACGAUUGUGAUUUUUUUUCAAUUUGGUUUGAAAAUUUGAUUAAUAAAAAUAAAUGUUGUUU